rnacentral:rRNA from 1 species
GACGAACGCUGGCGGCGUGCUUAACACAUGCAAGUCGAACGGAAAGGCCCUGCUUUUGUGUGGUGCGCGAGUGACGAACGGGUGAGUAACACGUGAGUAACCUGCCUUUGACGUUGGGAUAACUGCAGGGAACUGGAGCUAAUACCGAUUAAAUGCUCCUGCUCCAUGGUGGUUGUUGGAAAGGUUGGGCGGUUGUGGAUGGACUCGCGGCUUAUCAGCUGGUUGGUGGGGUAGUGGCUUACCAAGGGUUUGAUGGGUAGCCGGCCUGAGAGGGUGACCGGACAAAUGGGGACUGAGCUACGGCCGAGACUAGUACGGGAGGCAGGAGUAGGGAAUAUAGCCUGAUGGGCGGAAGCCUCAUGCAGGAACGCGGCGCGAGGGAUGGCGGCCUUCGGUUGGAAAACCGCUUUCGCAUGCGCGGAAGCGUGAGUGAAGGUAAUGGGUGAAGAAGCACCGGCUAACUACGUG